rnacentral:rRNA from 1 species
AUUGAACGCUGACGGCAGGCCUAACACAUGCAAGUCGAACGAGUGGCGGACGGGUGAGUAAUGUAUGGGAAACUGCCUGAUGGAGGGGGAUAACUACUGGAAACGGUAGCUAAUACCGCACACCAUCAGAUGUGCCGAGAUGGGAUUAUCUUGUUGGUGGGGUAACGGCUCACCAAGGCGACGGUCCCUAGCUGGUCUGAGAGGGUGAACAGCCACACUGUAACGGAGACACGGUCCAUACUCCGACGGGGGGCAGCAGUGGGGAAUAUUGCACAAUGGGCGCAAGCCUGAUGCAGCCAUGCCGCGUGAAUGAGGAAGGCCUGCGGAUUGUAAAGUACUUUCAGUAGGGAGGCGUUACCCGCAGACGAAGCACCGGCUAACUCCGUGCCAGCAGCCGCGGUAAUUC